AUACAGAGGGUGCGAGCGUUAAUCGGAAUUACUGGGCGUAAAGCGCGCGUAGGCGGCUUGUUAAGUCGAAUGUGAAAGCCCUGGGCUCAACCUAGGAAUUGCAUCCGAUACUGGCGAGCUAGAGUAUGAUAGAGGGUAGUGGAAUUCCAGGUGUAGCGGUGAAAUGCGUAGAUAUCUGGAGGAACAUCAGUGGCGAAGGCGACUGCCUGGAUCAAUUCUGACGCUGAGGUGCGAAAGCGUGGGGAGCAAACAGGAUUAGAAACCCUAGUAGUCC
rnacentral:rRNA from 1 species